rnacentral:rRNA from 1 species
GAUGAACGCUAGCUACAGGCUUAACACAUGCAAGUCGAGGGGUAACGAGAGGAAAGCUUGCUUUCCUUGUCGACGACCGGCGCACGGGUGAGUAACGCGUAUCCAACCUGCCCCCAACUAGGGAAUAACCUUGCGAAAGUAAGACUAAUACCCUAUAAUUUCCUCAGAUGUCAUCUGACGAGGAAUAAAGAUUUAUCGGUUGUGGAUGGGGAUGCGUCUGAUUAGCUUGUUGGCGGGGUAACGGCCCACCAAGGCAACGAUCAGUAGGGAUUCUGGGAGGAAGGUCCCCCACAUGGGAACUGUGACACGGUCCAAAAUCCUACGGGAGGCAGCAGUGGGGAAUAUUGAUCAAUGGGCGGAAGCCUGAACCAGCCAAGUAGCGUGCAGGAUGACGGCCCUAUGGGUUGUAAACUGCUUUUAUACAGGAAUAAAGUUAGCCACGUGUGGUUAUUUGUAGGUACUGUAUGAAUAAGGACCGGCUAAUUCCGUGCCAGCCGCCGCGGUAA